GACAAACGCUGGCGGCAUGCCUAACACAUGCAAGUCGAACGGACAGAUCAGGGAAGCUGUUCGGCGUGUAACUGGCACGUUAGAAGGUGACGUGUGGGUAACGCGUGGACAAGGUACCUUGUAAAGGUGAAGAACCUGGAGAAAGCGAAGCUGAUACCCCACAAUAACAUUGCUUCGCAUCAAAUUAGGAGGAAGGGCAGGCAAAGCGCUGUCAAGACAAGAUGGAGUCGCUGCUGAUUAGCUAGUUGGUGCGGUAAAGGCUCACGAAGGCGACGAUCAGUAGCCCGCCUGAGAGGGUGAACGGCUACCUUGGCACUGAGGAACGGCCCCAACUCCUACGGGAGGCCGCAGUGGGGAAUCUUCCGCAAUGGGCGAAAGCCUGACGGAGCAAUGCCGCGUGAGUGCAGACGGCCUUCGGGUUGUAAAACUCUGUCCUUCUCGAAGAGAGAGUGUUGUAGUACUUGACAAUACUAGGACGGUAGAUGAGGAAGAAGCCCCGGCUAACUAUGUG
rnacentral:rRNA from 1 species